rnacentral:lncRNA from 1 species
GGUUCAGCCCCCAGAGGGAAAUGUCACUGAAGAAACAGAAGAAAAUCCGUCUAAAACAACAAAUGUAGAUGAAAAUGCCGAGACUAGGCGAGUGCGUGAACUUACCGAAAAGGGACAGGGAGCCUUUAUAGAAAAACGUGACAAGUUCUAUCACGACUUAGAGGCCCUAUGGUCAAACCUAGAAUCUCAGUUAUUAGAAACGGCCAAGCCUCCUAACGACCUCCAGCAAUUGUUAACAGCACAAGAUAAAAUUGUACAAGCCUGUACUAAGUAUCGCAGGCUCACAGACGAGUACUUGACAUUUCUGAAAAAUACAAAAACAUUAGACAGC